rnacentral:sRNA from 1 species
CAAUUAUCAUAAACACUGCCAUCCACUCAUAAAAGAUAAGGAACAUAAAAGGGUACAUCAAAAUCAUCAUACCUCAUCCUCACUAAAACCUUGUCCAACUUUGGGCGUAAAUAACAUAUCACCAGUGGCAAGCUCAAAAGCAAUGCACGCGAAAGACCACAUGUCAACAGAGAAGGAAUAGCCAGCCUGCAGUAUUACUUCAGGAGCUCUGUACUGUCUUGUCUGAAUUUCUUCUGCAAACUGCUUGUCAGCCCAACAAGCAUUUCCAAAAUCUACCACCUUGCAUCUCACAUCAAUCCCAUCAAGAUUUCUCACAGACUUUUGAUCUUCUGUUCCUCCAAUUGAAGCUGUUCUUCCAGCGAUUUUAGCAACGGCCCUCCUAGCUCUUCUUUUCAACUUUUUCUCAAUAAGACUAGUAACUCCACCAUUUAUGCUUCCCUCUGGCCUCUCUAAUAUUGGACUGACUUCAGAUUUAACAGGGUCUUUGGCAGGAUCAAUGGUAGAGAUCAGAAGAACAUUUUCUGGUUUUAGGUCAGUGUGGAUAAUACCAUGUUCUCUAUGCAAAUAAUCCAAACCAAUCAAAAUGCAAUGGCAAAUCUCCCUAACUUUAUUCAAUGGAAGACCUUUGUACCGGUUAUACUUUAUUACACGAAGCAAGCUAUCCCCAAGAAACUCAAUCACCAUGCAAAGGUGCUGGCCAUUAGGACCUGCGUGCUUAAAGUGAUCAAUCAACUGGACAACACAUUUUGAAUUAACAUCAACGCCAUCAGAAAUGGAUGCAAGAACAUCAAUUUCAUGAAGGGCAGCCUGAACAAAUUGGGCCGCACUUUUCUGGAUCUUAAGAGCAACAUAUACAGAUGUUGAAGUAUCAUAGGCAAGCCAAACUGUGGAAAACUGGCCCCAACCCAGCUUCCUCUGCGCUAUGUACCUGCCUCCGGCGAACUGAUCGCCGACUCUGACGGCGUGGUACCCCCCUUUCCGGUAGGAGUCGAACCCCUCAUCGUCCUCUUCAGACCCGGAUGAAGAAGAACACGACAUCACCUCUGAUCUAUGAAAAAACUUCACCUUUUUCCUUCAAAACAACACUCCCAAAUGAAUGAUCUUUCUUGUUUCUCUGUCGUGUCACAACCAAGUUUUGUUGUGUAGUUCUUUUUCUUUUUAGAUUUUAAAUAAAUCCCCUUUUCUUGAACCCAAAAUUUGAAGCUUUUGUUUCGGAGAUGGGAGGGUGUGUGUGGCGUUCUCAAAUCACGAGUCUCUCUCUUCAACAAUCCUCCACUUUUUUCUCUCUGUUUUCUCUUUUGCUUCCUGCAAUGUUCUCUAACGAUGUAUAGUUUGUGUGGGUCUUGCAUUUUCAUACGGUUCGUUUUUUGUUCCUUUUUUCCCAAAUUAACUGUUUCUUGCUCCCUUACGUUUAUGCCC